UUAAGCGACUAAGCGUACACGGUGGAUGCCCUGGCAGUCAGAGGCGAUGAAGGACGUGCUAAUCUGCGAAAAGCGUCGGUAAGGUGAUAUGAACCGUUANCCGGCGAUGUCCGAAUGGGGAAACCCAGUGCAAUUCGUUGCACUAUCGUUAACUGAAUACAUAGGUUAACGAGGCGAACCGGGGGAACUGAAACAUCUAAGUACCCCGAGGAAAAGAAAUCAACCGAGAUUCCCCCAGUAGCGGCGAGCGAACGGGGAGCAGCCCAGAGUCUGAAUCAGCUUGUGUGUUAGUGGAACGGUCUGGAAAGUCCGACGGUACAGGGUGAUAGUCCCGUACACCAAAAUGCACAGGCUGUGAACUCGAAGAGUAGGGCGGGACACGUGGUAUCCUGUCUGAAUAUGGGGGGACCAUCCUCCAAGGCUAAAUACUCCUGACUGACCGAUAGUGAACCAGUACCGUGAGGGAAAGGCGAAAAGAACCCCGGCGAGGGGAGUGAAAAAGAACCUGAAACCGUGUACGUACAAGCAGUGGGAGCACCUUCGGGUGUGACUGCGUACCUUUUGUAUAAUGGGUCAGCGACUUAUAUUCUGUAGCAAGGUUAACCGUAUAGGGGAGCCGCAGGGAAACCGAGUCUUAACUGGGCGUUAAGUUGCAGGGUAUAGACCCGAAACCCGGUGAUCUAGCCAUGGGCAGGUUGAAGGUUGGGUAACACUAACUGGAGGACCGAACCGACUAAUGUUGAAAAAUUAGCGGAUGACUUGUGGCUGGGGGUGAAAGGCCAAUCAAACCGGGAGAUAGCUGGUUCUCCCCGAAAGCUAUUUAGGUAGCGCCUCGUGAAUUCAUCUUCGGGGGUAGAGCACUGUUUCGGCUAGGGGGUCAUCCCGACUUACCAACCCGAUGCAAACUACGAAUACCGAAGAAUGUUAUCACGGGAGACACACGGCGGGUGCUAACGUCCGUCGUGAAGAGGGAAACAACCCAGACCGCCAGCUAAGGUCCCAAAGUCAUGGUUAAGUGGGAAACGAUGUGGGAAGGCACAGACAGCCAGGAUGUUGGCUUAGAAGCAGCCAUCAUUUAAAGAAAGCGUAAUAGCUCACUGGUCGAGUCGGCCUGCGCGGAAGAUGUAACGGGGCUAAACCAUGCACCGAAGCUGCGGCAGCGACACUAUGUGUUGUUGGGUAGGGGAGCGUUCUGUAAGCCUGCGAAGGUGACCUGUGAGGGUUGCUGGAGGUAUCAGAAGUGCGAAUGCUGACAUAAGUAACGAUAAAGCGGGUGAAAAGCCCGCUCGCCGGAAGACCAAGGGUUCCUGUCCAACGUUAAUCGGGGCAGGGUGAGUCGACCCCUAAGGCGAGGCCGAAAGGCGUAGUCGAUGGGAAACAGGUUAAUAUUCCUGUACUUGGUGUUACUGCGAAGGGGGGACGGAGAAGGCUAUGUUAGCCGGGCGACGGUUGUCCCGGUUUAAGCAUGUAGGCUGGUUAUCCAGGCAAAUCCGGAUAAUCAAGGCUGAGGUGUGAUGACGAGGCACUACGGUGCUGAAGUAACAAAUGCCCUGCUUCCAGGAAAAGCCUCUAAGCAUCAGGUAACAUCAAAUCGUACCCCAAACCGACACAGGUGGUCAGGUAGAGAAUACCAAGGCGCUUGAGAGAACUCGGGUGAAGGAACUAGGCAAAAUGGUGCCGUAACUUCGGGAGAAGGCACGCUGGUGUGUAGGUGAAGUCCCUGCGGAUGGAGCUGAGACCAGUCGAAGAUACCAGCUGGCUGCAACUGUUUAUUAAAAACACAGCACUGUGCAAACACGAAAGUGGACGUAUACGGUGUGACGCCUGCCCGGUGCCGGAAGGUUAAUUGAUGGGGUUAUCCGUAAGGAGAAGCUCUUGAUCGAAGCCCCGGUAAACGGCGGCCGUAACUAUAACGGUCCUAAGGUAGCGAAAUUCCUUGUCGGGUAAGUUCCGACCUGCACGAAUGGCGUAAUGAUGGCCAGGCUGUCUCCACCCGAGACUCAGUGAAAUUGAACUCGCUGUGAAGAUGCAGUGUACCCGCGGCAAGACGGAAAGACCCCGUGAACCUUUACUAUAGCUUGACACUGAACAUUGAGCCUUGAUGUGUAGGAUAGGUGGGAGGCUUUGAAGCGUGGACGCCAGUCUGCGUGGAGCCAACCUUGAAAUACCACCCUUUAAUGUUUGAUGUUCUAACGUUGGCCCCUUACCGGGGUUGCGGACAGUGUCUGGUGGGUAGUUUGACUGGGGCGGUCUCCUCCCAAAGCGUAACGGAGGAGCACGAAGGUUAGCUAAUCCUGGUCGGACAUCAGGAGGUUAGUGCAAUGGCAUAAGCUAGCUUGACUGCGAGCGUGACGGCGCGAGCAGGUGCGAAAGCAGGUCAUAGUGAUCCGGUGGUUCUGAAUGGAAGGGCCAUCGCUCAACGGAUAAAAGGUACUCCGGGGAUAACAGGCUGAUACCGCCCAAGAGUUCAUAUCGACGGCGGUGUUUGGCACCUCGAUGUCGGCUCAUCACAUCCUGGGGCUGAAGUAGGUCCCAAGGGUAUGGCUGUUCGCCAUUUAAAGUGGUACGCGAGCUGGGUUUAGAACGUCGUGAGACAGUUCGGUCCCUAUCUGCCGUGGGCGCUGGAGAAUUGAGGGGGGCUGCUCCUAGUACGAGAGGACCGGAGUGGACGCAUCACUGGUGUUCGGGUUGUCAUGCCAAUGGCACUGCCCGGUAGCUAAAUGCGGAAGAGAUAAGUGCUGAAAGCAUCUAAGCACGAAACUUGCCCCGAGAUGAGUUCUCCCUGAGACUUUAAGUCUCCUGAAGGAACGUUAAAGACGAUGACGUUGAUAGGCCGGGUGUGUAAGCGCAGCGAUGCGUUGAGCUAACCGGUACUAAUGAACCGUGAGGCUUAACCUU
rnacentral:rRNA from 1 species